AGGGCUAUAGCCAAGCGGUAAGGCAACGGACUUUGACUCCGUCACCCGAUAGUUCGAAUCUAUCUAGCCCUGCCA
rnacentral:tRNA from 1 species